CCGCCACCGGGGAAGAGCGCGCCCAAGGUGAACGGGAGUGGUCCGGGCUGGUGGCCCGAAUGCACGUGUUCGAGCCGCGACUGGUACGAGCAGGCCAACCCUGCUCCCAUUAUCGUGAACACAGACUCGCUGGAACAAGGGCUCUCUGUGAACGGCAGUGAUGGGAUGUUCAAAUACGAGGAGAUCGUCCUGGAAAGGG